GAUGCUGAGCGGUUUUGCAGACUACCAUCUUCACUGCAACUCUGAAGGAUGGAUUUAACCACCACCAUGUCGAGCAAAAGAACAAAGACCAAGACCAAGAAGCGCCCUCAGCGUGCAACAUCCAAUGUGUUUGCUAUGUUUGACCAGUCACAGAUUCAGGAGUUCAAAGAGGCCUUCAACAUGAUUGAUCAGAACAGAGAUGGUUUCAUCGACAAGGAAGAUUUGCAUGAUAUGCUUGCUUCAUUGGGUAAUGCUCAGUUUAAAUAUUAAUCUAUUGGAUAGAAUUUCCACAGUGCCUUUCAUGUUGCUUUCAUGAGUCUUAAAGCUCUGUAAGCCUGUCUAAUGAGUCUACUAAGGUUUGAGUAAAGUGUGGAACAGUGUUUCCCACCAGACCACCAGCAGAUUCCUGACCCUGUCUUAGGAUUGGGUUGGGGUUCGUGUGUGUGUGUGUGUGUGUGUGUGUGUGUGUGUAUAAAAACACUGAUCUUGAUUAUGGAAGCAGUAUUAUUCCUUCUGACAUUCCAGUGGACUAUCAUACUCUCCAGACUCUUUAAUAGGCCCUAUUCAUUAAGAAAACUUU
rnacentral:sRNA from 1 species